UACGGAGGGAGCUAGCGUUGUUCGGAAUUACUGGGCGUAAAGCGCACGUAGGCGGCUUUUUAAGUCAGGGGUGAAAUCCCGGGGCUCAACCCCGGAACUGCCCUUGAAACUGGAGAGCUAGAAUCUUGGAGAGACGAGUGGAAUUCCGAGUGUAGAGGUGAAAUUCGUAGAUAUUCGGAAGAACACCAGUGGCGAAGGCGACUCGCUGGACAAGUAUUGACGCUGAGGUGCGAAAGCGUGGGGAGCAAACAGG
rnacentral:rRNA from 1 species